rnacentral:rRNA from 1 species
AGCGAACGCUGGCGGCAGGCCUAACACAUGCAAGUCGAACGGAUCCUUCGGGAUUAGUGGCGGACGGGUGAGUAACACGUGGGAACGGGCCCUUUGGUUCGGAACAACUCAGGGAAACUUGAGCUAAUACCGGAUGUGCCCUUCGGGGGAAAGAUUUAUGGCCAUUGGAGCGGCCCGCGUCGGAUUAGCUAGUUGGAGAGGUAAAGGCUCCCCAAGGCGACGAUCAGUAGCGGGUCUGCGAGGAUGAUCAGCCGCAUUGGGACUGAGACACGGCCCAAAAUCAUACGGGAGGCAGCAGUGCGGAAUCUUGCGCAAUGGGCGAAAGCCAGACGCAGCCAUGCCGCGUGAAUGAUGAAGGUCUUAGGAUUGUAAAAUUCUUUCACCGGGGACGAUAAUGACGGUACCCGGAGAAGAAGCCCCGGCUAACUUCGUGCCAGCCGCCGCAGUAAAAC